rnacentral:rRNA from 1 species
GACGAACGCUGGCGGCGUGCUUAACACAUGCAAGUCGAACGGAAAGGCCCUGCUUUUGUGGGGUGCUCGAGUGGCGAACGGGUGAGUAACACGUGAGUAACCUGCCCUUGACUUUGGGAUAACUUCAGGAAACUGGGGCUAAUACCGGAUAGGAGCUCCUGCUGCAUGGUGGGGGUUGGAAAGUUUCGGCGGUUGGGGAUGGACUCGCGGCUUAUCAGCUUGUUGGUGGGGUAGUGGCUUACCAAGGCUUUGACGGGUAGCCGGCCUGAGAGGGUGGCCGGCCACAUUGGGACUGAGAUACGGCCCAGACUCCUACGGGAGGCAGCAGUGGGGAAUAUUGCACAAUGGGCGGAAGCCUGAUGCAGCAACGCCGCGUGCGGGAUGACGACCUUCGGGUUGUAAACCGCUUUCGCCUGUGACGAAGCGUGAGUGACGGUAAUGGGUAAAGAAGCACCGGCUAACUACGUG